CUGAGACACGGCCCAGACUCCUACGGGAGGCAGCAGUCGGGAAUAUUGCACAAUGGAGGAAACUCUGAUGCAGUGACACCGCGUAUAGGAAGAAGGUCUUAGGAUUGUAAGCUAUUGUCGUGUGAGAAGAAAAUGACCAUCACAGGAGGAAGCCCUGGCUAAAUAUGUGCCAGCAGCCGCGGUAAUACAUAUGGGGCGAGCGUUAUCCGGAUUUAUUGGGUGUAAAGGGUGCGUAGGCGGGAAAAUAAGUCAGUAUGUGAAAUCCCUCGGCUCAACUGAGGAACUGCAACUGAAACUAUUUUUCUUGAGUGUUGAAGGGGAAAGUGGAAUUCCUAGUGUAGCGGUGAAAUGCGUAGAGAUUAGGAGGAACACCAGUGGCGAAGGCGACUUUCUGGGCAACAACUGACGCUGAGGCACGAAAGUGUGGGGAGCAAACAGGAUUAGAUACCCUGGUAGUCCACACCGUAAACGAUGGAUACUAGGAGUUGGCAAAAAUAUUGUCGGUUCCGCAGUUAACGCAUUAAGUAUCCCACCUGGGGAGUACGACCGCAAGGUUAAAACUCAAAGGAAUUGACGGGGGCCCGCACAAGCAGUGGAGUAUGUGGUUUAAUUCGAAGCAACGCGAAGAACCUUACCAGGGCUUGACAUAUACAGGAAUAUAUAAGAGAUUAUAUAGCUCUACGGAGUCUGUAUACAGGUGGUGCAUGGUUGUCGUCAGCUCGUGUCGUGAGAUGUUGGGUUAAGUCCC
rnacentral:rRNA from 1 species